AGGUCCUCAGCACAAUACGGAGAGGCUCAGAAGGGAAGUCGUAAGGGAUGAUUUUUGAGUUCGGAACAAGCAAAUACUGUGAUAAGCAUCAGAAAGAUGACAAUGUACAAGAUACAAUUCCUGCCUUAAAGAAGCUUCCAGAAAUUGAGGGCUGUGAAGAGACAAGUUCAACACGCUGUCUAAGAUUUGAUUGGAACAUGAUGCUAGGCUUUCAUGUAAUCUCAAAGAAGACAUAAGACAAAAUUCCUGUCCUCAUGAAGUUUGCAGAGAGAAAUCUAAAUAUACAGGU